CUCCUUUGACGUUAGCGGCGGACGGGUGAGUAACACGUGGGUAACCUACCUAUAAGACUGGGAUAACUUCGGGAAACCGGAGCUAAUACCGGAUAACAUUUGGAACCGCAUGGUUCUAAAGUGAAAGAUUGUUUUGCUAUCACUUAUAGAUUGACCCGCGCCGUAUUAGCUAGUUGGUAAGGUAACGGCUUACCAAGGCAACGAUGCGUAGCCGACCUGAGAGGGUUAUCGGCCACACUGGAACUGAGACACGGUCCAG
rnacentral:rRNA from 1 species